rfam:Triticum urartu cultivar G1812 contig916397, whole genome shotgun sequence.
CAUGUACUCCCUCCGUUCUGAAUUACUCGUCGCAGAAAUGGAUUUAUCUAGAUGUAUUUUACUUCUACAUACAUCCAAUUCUGCGAUGAGUAAUUUGGAACGGAGGGAGUAGGAA